UUUCCGUAGGUGAACCUGCGGAAGGAUCAUUACUGAUUUUUGAAUGAAGUUGUUCUCGUCUUUCGGGCCAAGUGAUCGUUUCUCGCAAUCCAUCUUCCACCUGUGCACCUAUCGGGGAAGACUUGGAUCUAAGUUGGGUCACGACGGCGAUCUACAGUCUCCUCUUUAUACUAAAUGAAAGUUUUAGAAAGUCUUUUUUGCUUUAUUCAAACUUAAAUAAAUACAACUUUCAGCAACGGAUCUCUUGGCUCUC
rnacentral:misc_RNA from 1 species